rnacentral:rRNA from 1 species
UGUGCGGAAGGGAUAAGUGCUGAAAGCAUCUAAGCAUGAAGCCCCCCUCAAGAUGAGAUUUCCCAUAGCGUAAGCUAGUAAGAUCCCUGAAAGAUGAUCAGGUUGAUAGGUUCGAGGUGGAAGCAUGGUGACAUGUGGAGCUGACGAAUACUAAUAGAUCGAGGACUUAACCAU